UACGAAGGGGGCUAGCGUUGCUCGGAGUCACUGGGCGUAAAGGGUGCGUAGGCGGGUCUUUAAGUCAGGGGUGAAAUCCUGGAGCUCAACUCCAGAACUGCCUUUGAUACUGAGGAUCUUGAGUCCGGGAGAGGUGAGUGGAACUGCGAGUGUAGAGGUGAAAUUCGUAGAUAUUCGCAAGAACACCAGUGGCGAAGGCGGCUCACUGGCCCGAUACUGACGCUGAGGCACGAAAGCGUGGGGAGCAAACAGG
rnacentral:rRNA from 1 species